rnacentral:rRNA from 1 species
GGACCAUCCUCCAAGGCUAAAUACUCCUGACUGACCGAUAGUGAACCAGUACCGUGAGGGAAAGGCGAAAAGAACCCCGGCGAGGGGAGUGAAAAAGAACCUGAAACCGUGUACGUACAAGCAGUGGGAGCACAGAGCAAUCUGUGUGACUGCGUACCUUUUGUAUAAUGGGUCAGCGACUUAUAUUCUGUAGCAAGGUUAACCGAAUAGGGGAGCCGAAGGGAAACCGAGUCUUAACUGGGCGUUAAGUUGCAGGGUAUAGACCCGAAACCCGGUGAUCUAGCCAUGGGCAGGUUGAAGGUUGGGUAACACUAACUGGAGGACCGAACCGACUAAUGUUGAAAAAUUAGCGGAUGACUUGUGGCUGGGGGUGAAAGGCCAAUCAAACCGGGAGAUAGCUGGUUCUCCCCGAAAGCUAUUUAGGUAGCGCCUCGUGAAUUCAUCUCCGGGGGUAGAGCACUGUUUCGGCAAGGGGGUCAUCCCGACUUACCAACCCGAUGCAAACUGCGAAUACCGGAGAAUGUUAUCACGGGAGACACACGGCGGGUGCUAACGUCCGUCGUGAAGAGGGAAACAACCCAGACCGCCAGCUAAGGUCCCAAAGUCAUGGUUAAGUGGGAAACGAUGUGGGAAGGCCCAGACAGCCAGGAUGUUGGCUUAGAAGCAGCCAUCAUUUAAAGAAAGCGUAAUAGCUCACUGGUCGAGUCGGCCUGCGCGGAAGAUGUAACGGGGCUAAACCAUGCACCGAAGCUGCGGCAGCGACACUGUGUGUUGUUGGGUAGGGGAGCGUUCUGUAAGCCUGUGAAGGUGUGCUGUGAGGCAUGCUGGAGGUAUCAGAAGUGCGAAUGCUGACAUAAGUAACGAUAAAGCGGGUGAAAAGCCCGCUCGCCGGAAGACCAAGGGUUCCUGUCCAACGUUAAUCGGGGCAGGGUGAGUCGACCCCUAAGGCGAGGCCGAAAGGCGUAGUCGAUGGGAAACAGGUUAAUAUUCCUGUACUUGGUGUUACUGCGAAGGGGGGACGGAGAAGGCUAUGUUGGCCGGGCGACGGUUGUCCCGGUUUAAGCGUGUAGGCUGGUUUUCCAGGCAAAUCCGGAAAAUCAAGGCUGAGGCGUGAUGACGAGGCACUACGGUGCUGAAGCAACAAAUGCCCUGCUUCCAGGAAAAGCCUCUAAGCAUCAGGUAACAUCAAAUCGUACCCCAAACCGACACAGGUGGUCAGGUAGAGAAUACCAAGGCGCUUGAGAGAACUCGGGUGAAGGAACUAGGCAAAAUGGUGCCGUAACUUCGGGAGAAGGCACGCUGAUAUGUAGGUGAAGUCCCUCGCGGAUGGAGCUGAAAUCAGUCGAAGAUACCAGCUGGCUGCAACUGUUUAUUAAAAACACAGCACUGUGCAAACACGAAAGUGGACGUAUACGGUGUGACGCCUGCCCGGUGCCGGAAGGUUAAUUGAUGGGGUCAGCGCAAGCGAAGCUCUUGAUCGAAGCCCCGGUAAACGGCGGCCGUAACUAUAACGGUCCUAAGGUAGCGAAAUUCCUUGUCGGGUAAGUUCCGACCUGCACGAAUGGCGUAAUGAUGGCCAGGCUGUCUCCACCCGAGACUCAGUGAAAUUGAACUCGCUGUGAAGAUGCAGUGUACCCGCGGCAAGACGGAAAGACCCCGUGAACCUUUACUAUAGCUUGACACUGAACAUUGAGCCUUGAUGUGUAGGAUAGGUGGGAGGCUUUGAAGUGUGGACGCCAGUCUGCAUGGAGCCGACCUUGAAAUACCACCCUUUAAUGUUUGAUGUUCUAACGUGGACCCGUGAUCCGGGUUGCGGACAGUGUCUGGUGGGUAGUUUGACUGGGGCGGUCUCCUCCUAAAGAGUAACGGAGGAGCACGAAGGUUGGCUAAUCCUGGUCGGACAUCAGGAGGUUAGUGCAAUGGCAUAAGCCAGCUUGACUGCGAGCGUGACGGCGCGAGCAGGUGCGAAAGCAGGUCAUAGUGAUCCGGUGGUUCUGAAUGGAAGGGCCAUCGCUCAACGGAUAAAAGGUACUCCGGGGAUAACAGGCUGAUACCGCCCAAGAGUUCAUAUCGACGGCGGUGUUUGGCACCUCGAUGUCGGCUCAUCACAUCCUGGGGCUGAAGUAGGUCCCAAGGGUAUGGCUGUUCGCCAUUUAAAGUGGUACGCGAGCUGGGUUUAGAACGUCGUGAGACAGUUCGGUCCCUAUCUGCCGUGGGCGCUGGAGAACUGAGGGGGGCUGCUCCUAGUACGAGAGGACCGGAGUGGACGCAUCACUGGUGUUCGGGUUGUCAUGCCAAUGGCACUGCCCGGUAGCUAAAUGCGGAAGAGAUAAGUGCUGAAAGCAUCUAAGCACGAAACUUGCCCCGAGAUGAGUUCUCCCUGACCCUUUAAGGGUCCUGAAGGAACGUUGAAGACGACGACGUUGAUAGGCCGGGUGUGUAAGCGCAGCGAUGCGUUGAGCUAACCGGUACUAAUGAACCGUGAGGCUUAACCUUACAACGCCGAAGGUGUUU